AACGAACGCUGGCGGCAUGCCUAACACAUGCAAGUCGAACGAGACCUUCGGGUCUAGUGGCGCACGGGUGCGUAACGCGUGGGAACCUGCCCUUAGGUUCGGAAUAACUCCCCGAAAGGGGUGCUAAUACCGGAUAAUGUCUUCGGACCAAAGAUUUAUCGCCUUUGGAUGGGCCCGCGUUGGAUUAGCUAGUUGGUAGGGUAAAAGCCUACCACGGCGACGAUCCAUAGCUGGUCUGAGAGGAUGAUCAGCCACACUGGGACUGAGACACGGCCCAGACUCCUACGGGAGGCAGCAGUGGGGAAUAUUGGACAAUGGGCGAAAGCCUGAUCCAGCAAGGCCGCGUGAGUGAUGAAGGCCUUAGGGUUGUAAAGCUCUUUUACCCGGGAUGAUAAUGACAGUACCGGGAGAAUAAGCUCCGGCUAACUCCGUG
rnacentral:rRNA from 1 species